GUGUGGAGAGUGCGGGCGCUGGACAGCAGCUCCGGCCCCUCACCGACGCGCAGCCCGCGCCUGGGCCGACCUGUUGACUGAAAAUCAGCCGGCGCUUGGCCAGAUGCGUCGAUGGAGGCCCGCAGCCCAGCGACGACGUGGUAGUCAUGGCUGAAGCGGCGCCUGCCCCGCCAAAUGCAGAGAAGAGCUCAUACCUCUAUUCCAUAGAAAUCACACUGUGGACCGUGGUGCCUGCUGUUCAGGCCUUGGAGAAGAAAAGUGGAUUCUUGCCUGGCCCGCUUGCUGACUCUGGAGGGAUGCUCAGGGACAGCAGAGAAGAAGCUGGCUGACUGUGAGAAGACAGCUGUGGAGUUCAGCAGCCAGCUGGAGGGCAAGUUGGCCGUGCUGGGGACCCUGCCUCAGGAGUCUAGGCUGCUGCAUGAAGAACCUCAUGGGCAACUGGAACUUCUGGGUCCAGCGGCUUCCCCCUGGCAACAAGGGGGAGGUCCCCAAGAGUGGGCCAAGCUGGAGGACUGGCAGAAGAGGCUCGACAAGCAUGUGAUGGGGGCAGCUAUGAGAUGCUCGUUUCCCUGGGUAUUUCUCUGAGUCCAGAGCAGGCCCCAAGUCCAGCUAGCCCUGCCCAGGAGGAACUGAAUCAAAGGCAGACACCUGAGCAGCAGCAAGAGGAAGCAACCAUGAUUCCACCUGAGCCAGGCACUGGGAUUCCAGCAAGCACCAGCCCUUUAUCACUUAAACAGGAGGAAGAAUCUGCAGAGGGAGGAGAGUUGCCACCCUCCCCUUCCACAGAUAGCCUGCUUUCUGUGGAGCCAGAAGCCCCAUCUGAGGAUCAACCUGAGCAGAACCUUCUGCAGUCCUGCAGCCAGUCCGUAUUUAGAGUCCACAGAAGGACCAGGAUUAAGACCAGGGGCCACAGAUGGCAUCACACGGAUUGGGGAACCUCAGGCAGCAGAGGAUAUGGGAGAGCCACCCUGUAUCCUUCCUCAGCCACAGAAGCAGGCAUUCCUGUGCCCUGACUGUGGGCAGAGCUUCUGCUUGAAGAUUAAUCUGACAAUCCAUUAGCAGACCCAUGUAGAAAAGAAACACAAGGAGGCUUGGAGUGGCUUGCCUAUUAGGUCAGGGAAAAGCCACUCCACACUGGAACCAGAGAAAGUGGUGGUGCCAGGCCCUGUCAUCCACUGGCCACCUGAGGAGCCCACAAGCCACCGGUCUCCAACAAGCCAUGCCUUCAUGAGACAAAGGCCAGCAACUACAGUUUACCACUGUAGUGAAUGUCUUCACUCCUUUCAGCAACAGAAGAGCCUGGUAUUACACCAGCAUCAGCACACAGGCAAGAGGCAGAGCUGGCCUGCCUGUCCCUACUGUGGCAAGGCCUCCCGCCGGCCCUCAGACCUCUUUUGUCACCAGUGUAUCCAUACUGGUGAGCGUUCCUAUCAGUGCCCCCAGUGUGGCAAGGAGCCACCACCUGGCUGUCCACAUGCAGACUCAUUCCUGAGGCUAAACAAUCCUGCAUUUCCUCUUGCUUUCUGUCCUCCAGGGAAGUCCAGCCCUGCAAGGGCCCAGCUCUGAACAGGACAGGACCUGCACUGUCUCAGGGCCUUUCCCUUGUGCCUGCCAAGUGGUGGAAGUUCCUUCACUUUCCAGCUGAGUUGGUACUUUAGGGGCCCUUCAAAAGCACAAGCUCCAGACCAGGAAUUUGAGGUGAUAGUGUCAUGCCUCAAAGUCAUGAGAGCGGGUGCUUCAUGUGCCUCUUUGUCACAGCACCUUGGGGACAGCCUUGUGGAGCUUCUGGAGCUGGGUGAUGGAUUCCAAUUCUGAUAGUUUGCUCUCUUGUUUGGCACUCAGACACCAGAGCACAUGAAGGCUCCCAGGUGCCUUCAUCCCUGGCUGUGCUAUUGCUAAAGUCCUGCAGACUCUGUAGCCACUCAGAAGUCCUGCACAGACGAGGCAGAGGGUGACACUGCCGUCAUUCCCAGGGUAGGGGUAUGACUGGCAAGACUGUGGCAUGCAGCCAUGGUUCUGGACGUUACUUGCCUGCACACCCAACCGUUGUUUAGGCCCUGCAAGCAAGACAGCAGUUGUCAGUAAGCGCUCAGACUGAACGUGGACAGUAUAGCUGCCCCAAACUUAAUCCUCCGCUGCAAGCACUCAUGUUGCUGUUCUGGGGGUUCCUAGGCCUCUCUUCUAAUGCUUUAGAUGUUCUCUGGAAAACAAGUAUUCAUAUUUGAAGCACAAAUCCAAGUGCUGGGGUGGGGGAAGAGGCGCUGUAUAAUCCUGGCUCGCCUUGGGCUUGCAGUGAAUUUUUUUCCCCUACCUCUAUCUACCUACUAGGAUUUCCUUGCUUGUGCCAUUAUGCACAACUGGGCUUACUGCAUUUAACCUGAAAUUCAAUAGGACAGGUUAAAGAGUAUUUUGAGUUAAGAAUGAACAAAGGCUGCAUGGUUGCCUGAGCUCAAAGACGUUGGAUCCCAGAUUCUGAUGACUUAUUUUGUAAAACAAAGAUAUGGUUGGGUUGGUUACAAGGCCCUAAGAACCAUGGAGGUGGAAAUAUUAACUUAAUCGGUGCUCUAUAAAUACACUGGAAAAUGU
rnacentral:lncRNA from 1 species